CGAUUUUUGUACUACACAUAGGUACUGGACACUGAGAUUUGUAUCCAGAAUCUAUUCUAGUGCAAAAAUUGC
rfam:Caenorhabditis remanei strain PB4641 contig93.9, whole genome shotgun sequence.